UCUCAWCUCAGCCCAAUCAGCACUGCGUUUGUUGUGAAGUUUCUCAGAGCGAGAGAUUUUGAUGUCGAUGAUGCAGUAGAACUGUACCACAAGUACAUGAUGCAGAGAAAGUUGUAUUUCGUAAGUGAUUUCUCGCCAUCAAGACCUCCCUUGAAGGAAGAACUUUUUUCUGGAAGGUUUACAAUGCUUAACAAGCGUAACGACAAAGGAGCAGUCAUUGGUGUUUUCACGGCUCAACGAAAUUCCCGUGAACGAAAACACAACGUUGUGUUGACGAGUAUUUACUUACAACUAAACGAGGCACU